UGCGUAGGUGGUUGGUUAAGUUUGAGGUGAAAGCUCCGAGCUCAACUCGGAAAAUGCCUUGAAGACUAUCUGACUAGAGGACUGGAGGGGAGAUUGGAAUUCUCGGUGUAGCAGUGAAAUGCGUAGAUAUCGAGAGGAACACCAGUGGCGAAGGCGAAUCUCUGGACAAUUCCUGACACUGAGGCACGAAAGCCAAGGGAGCAAACG
rnacentral:rRNA from 1 species